GCUGUCCUCGUGCGCCUGUUAUCGCGAGACUGGCCGUUAGCGCGAGACUGGCCGUUAGCUCGCUGCCGUUAGCCGUCCCCGCCCCCAGCGGUUGGAGUCACGGUGGUCCCCAUGGCAGCAGUCUCCCAGGGCGGCAGUCUGUGGAACCUGGCCCAGUUGCCUGCCAGCGCCGACACUGGGCAGGGCAGGGGCCCUUUGUUUGGCUUGUAAAAACUGCGAAACAGAGGCGCCCUCAGUGACAGCCGGCGAGCAGCCCCAAGCUGGAGUGGCGUCCUGUGGGCUACUGUGAGGAGCAUCGAUGGUGGAGGUGACCUCCUGCCUGGCCUCGCACCAGCUGCCCCGCAGGUGUGAAAGCAGCCUGUUCUGACAUCUGAGGCAGGCUCUGUGAGUCCCUUCUCUGGUUGUUAAACUUUAAGAGUAUUAUACUUUUAGAUAAAAUUUUGUGGAACAGAUAAUAGCAUUUGUUGUUUUGGAGGUUUACAGGAACAUCGUGACCUGACCCACAUGGUCAGCUGCAAGAACAAGAAGUAUGCAACAAUUAACCACGUCCCUCCAUCACCUUGCCUUUAAAAGGACUUUGCUGAAAGGCUUCUGGGAGUUUGGGGAUUGUUGUUGUUUUUUUUUUUAACCGCGUGAACCACCCCUCUUCUGCAAUAAACUUCUGUCUCCUUCAAACUCUGAUGUUUUGGUCCCAUUUGGCCUCACUGUGCCCUGGGCACAGGGACUUGAGGUUUGUUUCCACAGUGAAAAUUGAAGUGGCAGAGAUGGGUUCUCAUGACUGAGAUGGCGCCGAGCAGAGAAGGAUGAACAGAUUCAUCUGAAUACAUAAACACUGAACCACAGGAAACUUGUUCCAGGAGAGCAGAGAUUAGGGAGCAACAUGAGGAAGGAAACCACCUACGAUGUUAUGAGGAAUGCUAUGGAAUCAAUAUUUGGAUGAGAUUCUCUAGUUCAUGCCAAGCCUCUACAUGAUUGCAGUCCUACCUGAUAGCUUGACUGAAAUCUCAUGACACACCAUGGAUCAAAAAUAUUCAAUUAACCUGCUCCAGGAUUUGUGCUCCUCAGAAACUGCAGGUGAAAAAAUGUUGAUUUAGGUGGAUAACUUGGGAGUACUUUAUUAGACAAAGAUAAAUAAUUAAUACACCACUUAUGCAAAGCAAUGAUGUGCAGGACAGCUGGUCUAAGCAUCAAGCUGUCUUAUUAUUUCACCAGCUAAAAAAUAAAGCAGAAGAUGGUGGGUUCCAUUAUAACCACUGAGCAACAGUAGCAUCGAAACAUGGCUUUUCUGUAUGGUUUGUACUCAGUUAUUCCUGAUAAAACCUUAACAGAGUAAGUGAGAUGUACUGCGAUUUAUUGCCCACUUGGUAAGUCAACUCUGUUUCCAUCACUCCUGUGUUACAGCCCAUACUUCACCCACAUAGAAUGACUUGUAUUUCCCCAGGGUGUCGUAUUUUUUAUAUGCUUGUAUCGGAUUUUCUCUUUGUCCUGUUGUCUUCUUGUCCAGCUAACAAACUCCUUCUCAUCCUUCCUCAAAUAUGUCCUCUUCUGUAAUGCCUUCCAUAAUGCUUUCAAGAAAAUUGGCUCAUUCUUUUGCCUGCUAAUGCACCUUGAAUAUAAUUCUUCCUGAUGUCUAUAAUACUACAAUAUCUCUUUAUUCCAAGUGCUUCCUAGACUGCCAUACAUGGAAUAGGUGUUAUUAAUAAAUAUUCUCUGGCUUAAGGAAAGAAUGAAAAGAUGAGAAAGCACUCUCAGAAGACCUGUUGAAUAGGAAAUACAAAAUAAAAAAUAAACUUAAG